UGACCUCGGAUCAGACGUGAAUACCCGCUGAACUUAAGCAUAUCAAUAA
rnacentral:rRNA from 1 species